UGUAUCUUGCCCAGAGAAGAUAUUUUUUAACUAUCACCUUCACCCGCUGGUUCCAUCUGACCACUAGGCUCAAGUUUUUCAACAAGCAACCAGGAUCUCCUACACACAGUUAAGGAUAUUCUUAUAGAAGGAGAACAGGAAAUUUCCAGAGGCUGCUUUCUCCUGGAUUCAGCAGAAGGGGUUAUACAGAACCACCUCAAAUCAAAGAUGUCAGAGACUCAUUUCCUGUUUUUAAAUCUGAUUCAAACCUCCACCGCAGCUGAAUAU